GACGAACGCUGGCGGCGUGCCUAAUACAUGCAAGUAGGACGCAGUUGCGAACGGGUGAGUAACGCGUAGGUAACUACCUAUUAGAGGGGGAUAACUAUUGGAAACGAUAGCUAAUACCGCAUACUAGUAGAUGGACCUGCGUUGUAUUAGCUAGUAGGUAGGGUAAUGGGCUACCUAGGCAACGAUACAUAGCCCACCGUGGAUGGCUAUCGGCCACGCUGGGACUGAGACACGGCCCAGACUCCUACGGGAGGCAGCAGUAGGGAAUCUCCGGAAAUGGGGUGAACCCUGAGCGAGCAACGCCGCGUGAGUGAAGAAGGUUUUCGGAUCGAAAAGCUCUGUUGUUAAGGAAGCGGUACUUAACCAGAAAGGGACGGCUAACUACGUGCCAGCAGCCGCGGUAAUAC
rnacentral:rRNA from 1 species